AUGUAAGGAUUCAAAGGUCGAACAGACCUAAACUUUGAACUUCUACACCCAAAAAUAACCCUUAAUCCAACAUCGAGGUCGCAAUCUUUUUUAUCGAUAAGAACUCUCUAAAAAAAUUACGCUGUUAUCCCUAAGGUAACUUAAUCUUAUAAUCAGUAUAACUGGAUCAAUAAUUCAAUAAUUUUUGUUAUAAAAUAAAAAGAGUUUAAUUAAUCUUCCUGUCACCCCAACAAAAUAUUUAUUUUAAUAAAAUUUAAAAAUUUUUAUAAAUAAAUUAUUAUAUAAAUAUAAAGCUCUAUAGGGUCUUCUCGUCCUUUAAUUUUAUUUAAGCCUUUUAACUUAAAAGUUAAAUUUUAAUUUCAUUUAAAUUGAGACAGUCAACACCUCGUUCAAUCAUUCAUUCUAGUCCCCAAUUAAAAGACUAAUUAUUAUGCUACCUUUGCACGGUCAAAAUACCGCGGCCCUUUAAAAUAUCAGUGGGCAGAUUAGACUUUAAAUUAUUUUCUAAAAG
rnacentral:rRNA from 1 species